UUGCGGAUUGUACUGAGUAGACACG
rnacentral:piRNA from 1 species